rnacentral:misc_RNA from 1 species
CGACUUGCCGGCGCCUGUGUCCCUUUCAAUUUUUGGCUGUUGUGCCUGACCACAUUAUGAGUGCUUGCGUGUUGCUACCAGUUGUACUGGAAGUUGCAUUCGACACAGGUUGCGUUCGUCGUUCACGCCCUUCGGCGCUGCACGUCGACAUGAAAACAUUCACAGCGUUGCCUCGUGUAGCUAGCCGCCUAGGCUGCUUUCACCAAGGACACCUUGUGGAUGCCAUUGGUCUCGGAUGCGGCUUACUAAAAAGGUCGAUGGUGCUUCGGCGCCGCGUGCCUAGCAAAGAUGGUCCAGUCGGAAAAACGACAGCAGGCCUAGCUGAUGCCUUGUGUAGAGGCUUGAGCUUGCUCGUCGAUGAGGACGUGCUACCUGGUUGAUCCUGCCAGUAG